GGUGUGCAUUGGUCGGCUU
rnacentral:siRNA from 1 species